rnacentral:rRNA from 1 species
UGUAAGCGUAUACCAAAGUUGUUGCAGUUAAAACGCUCGUAGUCGGAAUUUGGCAGUUCCGGAAGUGUGCACGUCGUGUGCGCACUUUGCGGGGACUGCUUUUGUGGUCUUGCGUAGGAUGAGGCACUUUCAUUAGUGAACGUCCUCACGCAACCACUCUUUACUGUGAGAAAAUCAGAGUGCUCAAAGCAGGCAUUUGCCGUGAAUGUAUUAGCAUGGAAUAAUAGAACAGGACUCGGUUCUAUUUUGUUGGUUUGUUGGGACUGAGUAAUGAUUAAGAGGGACAGUUGGGGGCAUUUGUAUUCCGGCGCUAGAGGUGAAAUUCUUAGAUUGCCGGAAGACAAACUGCUGCGAAAGCGUCUGCCAAGGAUGUUUUCAUUGA